rnacentral:rRNA from 1 species
UACGGAGGGUGCGAGCGUUAAUCGGAAUUACUGGGCGUAAAGGGUGCGUAGGUGGUUUAUUAAGUUAUCUGUGAAAUCCCUGGGCUCAACCUGGGCAGGUCAGAUAAGACUGGUAAACUCGAGUAUGGGAGAGGGUAGUGGAAUUUCCGGUGUAGCGGUGAAAUGCGUAGAGAUCGGAAGGAACACCUGUGGCGAAAGCGGCUCACUGGACCAUUACUGACGCUGAGGCACGAAAGCUAGGGGAGCAAACAGG